AUUGAUCUAUCACAAUCCACAACCGUGAACCAUAUUGUUGGCCUCCAAGCUUCGGCUUGGGCUGGUCUAGCCUGAUUCACUUCGGGCUGGCGCCAGGGCCUCUAUUGCAUCCUUGCGGUGCUCUAGGGGUCGGUCUUUAUCCAACCACAACACCAAACCAAAACCACUAAACAAACUCGAGGAUCAGCUUAGAGCUGAAACUCAUUAACCAAGACAACUCUCAACAACGGAUAUCUUGGCUCUCGCAACGAUGAAGAACGCAGCGAAAUGCGAUACGUAGUGUGAAUUGCAGAAAUACGUGAACCAUCGAAUCUUUGAACGCAAAUUGCGCCCGCGUCUUCGGACAAGGGCAUGUCUGCCUCAGCGUCGGGUUAAUACUCGCAACUCAAUACCCUGUGUGUUGAGCUAAAUUGCGGACCUGGCUUUCCCGGUCGUUCAUUCGGCCGGGUCUGCUGAAGGAAAGAGGUUGACGCAUGGACCCGUUAUGGGCCUCAACUGGGUAGGCAAUUCGUUGCUAAUGCUUUAGCUGUUGGCUUGUGGACUGUGCAAGU
rnacentral:rRNA from 1 species